GUAACAGGGUCAAUUAUUUCGCAGCAAUGUGGGUAUGUAAAUGAUAUUGUGCAUUGUUUGUUAUAAUUACACAAAAUCUGUUCAUUUUAUUUUCAUUUCUUUUGGUUAAUAUUUGACAUUGUGGGCCUCUGAAUGUGUGUGUGUGGAACAUUUUG